rnacentral:misc_RNA from 1 species
UACGGAGGGGGCCAGCGUUGUUCGGAAUUAUUGGGCGUAAAGGGCGCGUAGGCGGCCGAGCAAGUCGGAGGUGAAAUCCCUCGGCUCAACCGAGGAAUGGCCUCCGAUACUGCCUGGCUUGAGUCCCGGAGAGGGUAGUGGAAUUCCCAGUGUAGCGGUGAAAUGCGUAGAUAUUGGGAGGAACACCGGUGGCGAAGGCGGCUACCUGGACGGGUACUGACGCUGAGGCGCGAAAGCGUGGGGAGCAAACAGG